UCUCGAGACAGCAACAACCAUUGUGGCUCUCAUCCUAUUUUCAUUUCUCACGUCCUGUUUCGCAGCGAACGUGACGUACGAACGUCAGUCGCUCAUCAUCGAUGGGCAGAGGAAGCUCUUCAUCUCUGCUUCGAUUCAUUAUCCUCGCAGCGUUCCUGGGAUGUGGCCCAGACUGGUUUGGCUGGCCAAAGAAGGCGGAGCAAAUACGAUCGAAUCGUAUGUGUUUCGGAAUGGUCAUGAACCUUCUCAAGGCAAUUAUUGCUUCGAAGAUAGAUAUGAUCUUGUCAAGCUCGUGAAGAUAGUGCAGAAUGCAGGGAUGUACAUGAUUCUCCGAAUUGGCCCCUUUAUCACAGCUGAAUGGAACUUUGGUAUCACAUGAAGAAAUUCGUGUGUUCAUAGUGAAACUGAUGAAGAAGGAAAAGCUUUAUGCUUUGCAAGGAGGUCCUAUCAUCUUAGCCCAGGCAAGUUAUUUUCAUACAAGUAUAAUGAUAAUGACAAGAGUUUCAAAGUUUUGAUGGUGGUAGUACGUUAUUUGUGAGUCCUUUCUUGUUUUCAAACUUUCACAUUGCGGUUCUUUUUAUCUUCAUAAGUCUGAUCAGCCUCUAACUAGUGGGUGAGACAUGCAUCUCUCACUGCAGGUAGAAAAUGAAUAUGGAUACAAUGUACAAUAAUACGGCGAGGCGAAGCCACAUGUCAUGUGGGCUGCGAGGAUGGCAGUCUCUCAAAAUACUGUUGUUCCAUGGGUUAUGUGCCAACAGCCCAAUGCUCCUGAAUAUAUCGCAAGAGUUUCAUCAUUUUUUACCUCUUCCACAAUGUGUCAUGGGUAGAUAUUUGUGCAUUGUAGCAUUUGUACGCAGGAAAAUGAUAACUAUAUAUUUUGCUUUUGAUGUGGAGACUUCUGACAUCUGCUCUCUGAUGUUUUCUGAUUUUGAGGACAUUAUUGAGACUAAUUUCUACUUGAAGUAGCCUUAUUCACUGUUUUUUGGGCAUGGUGAAAGAAAGACUUGUUUCAUCAACAUUCAUCUUUAA